rnacentral:rRNA from 1 species
UAAGGAAUAUUGGACAAUGGAGGCAACUCUGAUCCAGCCAUGCCGCGUGAAGGAAUAAGGCCCUAUGGGUUGUCAACUUCUUUUAGACGGGACAAAACCCCUUUACGUGUAAAGGGUUGAUGGUACUGUCAGAAUAAGCAUCGGCUAACUUCGUGCCAGCAGCCGCGGUAAUACGAAGGAUGCAAGCGUUAUCCGGAAUUAUUGGGUUUAAAGGGUGCGUAGGCGGACUAAUAAGUCAGUGGUGAAAGCCUGCAGCUUAACUGCAGAAUUGCCAUUGAUACUGUUAGUCUUGAGUACAGUUGAGGUAGGCGGAAUGUGUCAUGUAGCGGUGAAAUGCUUAGAUAUGACACAGAACACCGAUUGCGAAGGCAGCUUGCUAAGCUGUAACUGACGCUGAGGCACGAAAGCGUGGGGAGCAAACA